CAGGAGGUCACAUAUUUGUCACGUCAAACUUGUCUACUGAUUUCUGAGUUUGCCUUUGUAUUUUAAAUAAUUUUUUUGAUCCUUUCACUUUCCUCUAUCUUUUGCCACCUUAGUCUUUAGAACCCUGUUACUUCCUUCCUCCCACCAUUUCCUUCAGCAGUUUCUGGAGGCAUUAUUCAAUUGGCCUCAGGUUACUCAGCUCCGGAGGGUGCCCAAGCAAGAGACCGAUCAAAUGUUUCUUUCUCCUUUCAGGGGCAGGACCAGAGAAAGCAGCCACUUUUCCCAGAUAUCUUCUCUUCGCUACAGAGUCCUAGAAGCUUCUUUGCCUUAGCAUCCAGAUACCGACUUCCAACCCCGCUCCUUUAUCUUUCUCUUCGUAACCAACCUAGGUGGGAAGACAAGCGGAAUUCCUGCCUGGCUCUGGAGCUGGGGAGGUGACGACACCGUCGGUCCCAGGCGACAGGUUUGACAAACUCUCCCAGAAGAAAGUAAACAGGGGGCACCUGCCAACUUUUCACCUGACUCCCGUCUCUAUUCCCUGGAAGCCCUGGGGUUCCAGAGAGCAGCCUUGGGUGCAGUACGACGCGGGUCCCCCGAGGACCGCUGCCCCUGGCAGGGGCCACUCUGGCCCCUUCCUCCCCUCUCCCUAGGGUUCAGCCACCUGAGCCACAGCCAGGGCGGGGGCGACCUAAAGUGCUAGUGAGGGGCAGGUCGGGGAGUGGAGCCUGGCGCAGACCUACCUUCACAAAGAGCUCAAUUUCAGGAUCCUUGCUGUCCCCGUUAGCAGAAGCAGAGUCAGUCAUGGUGUCAUAGGCAGGAGUCACUGCCCGUUUCCUGAGAGGUGGCCACUUCAGCAACAGCUGGAUGCUCUCUCUCCCUCCUUCCCUCCCUCAAUAGCUCCCACCGAAGCUUUCUAAAAAAACAUGCUAAUUGUCCAGCUGAGGGGGGUCUUCUAUGGCAGAGCUCCUACCCAAAAAAGAGAAGAACCGGGCUACCAAAGGAGAAGGGGAAACAAAUGAGCCGGUGGGGCUGAUAACAGUUUCAGGGUGCAACAAGUGCCGGGCCCGCUUCUGUGGUGUCACAGUAUCCUCAACUGUCAGCGCUUCGGAGCUCCCUGGCGGCCCAAAAUAGCCGGGAACACAAGAGGGCGGGGCUAGCGGGCAGUAGAAGGAGGCGGAGACACUGCCCGGCCUGAGCCUUAGACUCUCUCGGCCCCAGACUGGGUACUGGAUCUGUGCUCGACCCCCGGGCCCGCCGGACCUGGACUUUGCCUUUCUUUACGCAUCCGUGGCGCGGCCUUGUUAAAAGGAGGGUCUGGACUGCGAGGAAUGUGUUUCGUCCUUUUUCCUUGGGAAAGGCGGGGGAGAAGAGGGAAGAAGAGAAGAGUGAGAUAAGCCCCGGUGGGCGAAGGGGCAAGGGAUUUGUGGGGGAGAGGAGACCUGGAAGAAAAGAGGCGAGCAAAGUAAGGCAUGAGGAGAGGAGACUCGGAGAGGAGAGGGAAGGAGAGACCUGGGGCAGAGGAAAGGAGAGAUAGACAGAGAUGGUUUUCAGCUUCUUAUGUUUCUUUUAUGAAGAGUUUUUUUUCAGGACAGCAGAGUACUAGUGUUACCAACUCGAAAGUUCCAUUUCUGCAUGAUCAGUGCUCAAGAGGGGGGAAGAAGAAGGAGUCAGGGAGGGAAAUCCCGCCAUCCCCAAGAGAAAUGAGAUGGCAUUUGUCGCUUUAUGAUCAAGAAAAAGAAGAGUAAGUCAAAGGAAGGAGUGUGGAGAGAUGGGCUGGAGAGGAGUGUCAUUGUAAGGGAAAGGUGAGCCAAACAGGUCAGAUUCAUUCAUAACUAGGAAUCAGUGUUCUUUUUAACCUUCGGUUUCUUUUUUUUAUUCCGUUCGUUUUCUGGCUUGCUUUAUUUUUUCCUUCCCUAAUAGAAACUAAAGACAGAUUUUUUUUAAAAAGAUGUAUUAAACUUUCUUUGUAAAUAUUUGUAUUUAUUAAUUUUGCAUUUAUACAGUGUGUAUAAUUUAAUAUAUUCAUUUCCCGUAUUAAAAUAAUCAGUUCUUUUAAGUAGGGAUUAUUUCUUUUUUUUUUCUUUUUCUUCUUUUAAGCAUAUACCCAGUACCUAGGAUGUAGUAUGUAUUUAUUGAGUGGUUGAUUGAUGCAACCCAUAAAGACUUUUUUUGUUUUCAUUUUCCUAAAACAAUGCCCACCUGGACCUUGGUCUACUUAAUCACCCAUAUAUACCAGGUGUUCCACUUUCUUUUUCUUUCUUUCUUUCUUUCUUUUUUUUUUUGGUAGUGGUUUUUAUUUGACUUGAACUAUGAUCUUAUCAGUGUAGAAAGCUUCAGGGAAGAAACUUCCCCCUGUUAAUGCCCAAGACAGGUCUACACCUUCUCUAUAAUUUGUAGUCUCAAAGAGUUGUAUAGGGAACUGGGGGGAGAGGAAGAGGGAGAGGCAGAGGCGGGGAUGCUGCAUGACUUACUCAUGCUCACAAGGCCAGUACAUAUUAGAGGUAGAAUUUGAACACAUCUUCCUAAUGUUUUGGCCAAUUCAUUAUAGGUAUCCCAUAAUGCCUUUCACAGAUAAUUAUUGUCUUUAAUCAUACCAUUCACUAAUGUUUAAAAGUUAUACUAUCUUCAGGUUUUGCAAAUGCCUUUACAAACAUGACCUCAAUUGAUUAAAAAGCAAUCAUCCAACUUUUAUUAAGCACCUACUGUGGACAAGACAGAAAGUGAUUACAAAACUACUCUGCCCUUGGGGAGCUUACAAUCAAUUUGGACAAAUCAGGACCCAAGAUUAAAAACAAACAAACAAAAAAAGAUAAAGCUAAAAAAAUAACAAAACCAUUAAAAAUGAAUGUCUGUGAUAUAAUACUGACCAAGCUUGAUCCCAAUGAAUAGAUGUCAGAAGAUAUUUCCACAUCCCCAUUUCUUUGCCAAAGUGAAGUGCUAUAGAUGUAGAAUACUGCUUAUGGUGUUAAGAAUUGUUUCAAUAUAUUGCUUAUUUCUAUGGAACGUUACAAUUUUUCUUUCUUUUGUCUGUAUCUAUAAAUAAAAUAUAAUCUAAAAUAACAAUAGCUAACAUUUAUAUAGCACUUACUGUAUAUCAGAUCCUGUGCAAAGCACUUUACAAUUAUCUCAGUUGAUCCUCACGACAACCCUGGUGCUCUUAUCAUCCUUACUUUACAGAGGAGGAAACUGAGGCAAAAGAGAUUAAUUGAUUUGCCCAGGGUCACACAGCCAAUAUGUGUCUAAGGUCAAAUUUGAUCUCUCCUCUUCCUGACUCCAGACCCAAGUGUUUUAUCCAUUGUAUCCCCUGGUUCUCCAGCAGUGAGGGAGUAGUAGUUAGGGGGAUAAGGAAGGGGACAAGACAGGAAUGUAAGUAAAGUAAAAGCAAAAAAUAACAAAAAAAAUGUUUAAACCCGUAGGAUGAGCAAUACAAGAGAAUAUAUAAUUUGAAUUAAAAGAAUUAUAUGGAAAAUGAUUCAGAAAAGGAUCCCUGCAGAAUAGGACUUGAGAUGGACCUUGAAGGAUGAUCAGAAUUCAAGAAACGGGAAAAACAAAUCUUAAAGUCCUUUAAAGCAAGUCACAAUAGGAACAUCACCCUCACACCAGAAGGGUGCUACUAUUUUUGCUGUGAAGGAAGCACCUGCAAAGCUCAGCUUGUAGUCUUCACAGGACAUUUAAUCAAGAUUGUGGUUAAUUGCUUUCAUUGUUGGUUUCGGGCUUACAUCACGAAAGCACUUGGAAAAAAUUGUUUUGUGAUUACACAUUCCAGAUUAGUGACAUACUCACCAUAGGAGAGGACCAAAGAAAUGGUUGGUGGAUAAGGCCCUAAGCUGAAUGAAGAAGCCUGGUCUAGGCCCUCCCCUGAUUCUAUCAUGGCAGGUAGCUGUUUUCUGUGCUGAGAAUUUCUGUCUUUGAGAUAGGUAUAAUAUGCAGAGCAGGAAUGUGGUAAGGAGGGGAGGCUGACUCGUACACAAAAUUAAUUUGAAGAAAAGUACUCUGUAAAUAUUAGCUAGCUGUGUGAUGUUAGGCAAAUUAUUUAGCUUCUCUGAGACUCAGUUUCCUACUCUGUAAAAUGUAGAUGAUGAUAAUCAUGCUACCUACUCCAAGGGGUUCUGUUGAGGAAGCCACUCAGGAAACUGCAAAGUGUGACAGUCUUAUUCUACUGACAUCUUUCUCAGCUGUAAUAAAAAGCAGACUAUCUGAGGGUGUGUUUCAUGGAAUUGUGAAUUUUUGUGAAACAAAUCAGGUUCCAUGACCAAAAAAAUUGUUAUGAUAGAGAAGAAUCCAUGGAAGACCAAACAAUUUUGUUUUAGUCUGUAUUCAUUGUACAUAAGUCAUAUAUGCCUUCUGUGGGGAAAUUAGCCAAGCUUAGUUGAAAGCAAUCACUUGAUUGAAAAUCUGACUUCUUAUUGGCCUACACUUAAUCAGCAAAUUUACCCAAAGAUCAACUGUUUAUUGUAUGCUCUGGCAUAAAAUGUGUAAAAUAAGCUAUACCCACUCAUAGUCUCAACUUUUUUUUUUAAACCCUUAACUUCUGACUUAGAAUCUAUACGAAGUAUAGGCUCCAAAACAGAAGAGCAUUAAAGGUUAGGCAUUUGAGUGCCUUAAGUGGUUUAUUCAGGGUCACACAGGUAAGAAGUGUCUGAGAUCAGAUUUGAACCAAGGUCCUCCUGAAUCCAGGCCUGGUUCUCUAUCAGCUGAGCCAUCUAGCUGGCCCUUAUAGUCUUUGCUUUUUAAAAAUAAGAUUAUUAAUACAUAAUUUUAGGACCAAAGUCCAUUGGUAUGGGACUCUUAUUGAUGGAGAUCAAUGUCCCUGGCCCUCCAGGGCAGAAUUGUGGAGAUUCACUUUUUUGACCUGCUUUAAGCUUCAAGUUGCUUUAGGUCCUUCAGUCUCUUUGGGGACUUCUGAUUUUGAGAAAGGAAAGAUGGACAAGGUCAACUUCAAGUUGCAGAAGAAAUUACUUGGAAGACAGGAAAGGAAUUUACAGUCUCCAUCAUGUGCCUAUCACAUCCUUGCUCUACUAGAGACUUCAAGGAACUUCUCUUUGGGUGAGAUCUAGGAUGCUCUCUUGAUUGAGCUCCUAGUGGGAGACCUCCUUCACUCUGUGUCAUCUAAUAUGUAUUCUUCUAAGUAUACUUUCCCUGAUUUGUUCUGCUACUGAUUUGGAUAAAUGGAUUUCUUGGGUAA